UGUCAAGGUAAUAAAAUGACAUAAUAACUUGCUAAUUUACAAUUAUGACAGCUAACAAUAUAUUUUCAGACGUCUAAAAAAACAUGGUUCUCAUGAAAUUCCUAUGGUACCCUAAUCACCAAUUAUAACUUUGUGGAAUGAGUAGGCCAAUGAACAAUAGUCAUGCCAUCUUCAUUCUUCAUGAGAAAAUGCUCCCUUGAACAUCCAUUAAUUAGCUAGUCCAAGUUAACUUGUUGACGCAGGCACAUCUCAUUCCCAUGCCAUACUACCAUUUGAAAAUAAAAUAAAAUAAAAACACAA
rnacentral:misc_RNA from 1 species